rnacentral:misc_RNA from 1 species
AAAAAAAAAAAAAAAAAUACCUCUUCAAUCUCAUAUAAGUAACAUUGAUUCUUGAAUGGCCUCCCACAACUGAAUUAUGAUAAAAUUGCAACAAGAUUUGUCUUAAUGAAGUAGAUGCCCCUACAUACAUCUUAUCUUUGUAAAAUAGAACCCCAUUCUUCGAUUUAUAAAGAGAAGAGACAUUAGCAUCCAAAGAUAGCUGCUGAAUCAACUGUUACCUUUUCAUCCCCUGCAUAACUAUGCACUAAUUGCUGCAGCCAAGUAGGAAUUACUAUAGACUGAAUAGCACAAGCAUGAGGACUUGUAGGCCUUCUAGAUAGUGCAUUUGCCACUGUAUUAUCAACACUCUCUCUAUACAAAAUCUUAUAAUCCAACCCCAACAAUUUUGAAAUACCUCUUUGUUGAAGGUUCGUGUGCAACCUCUUAUGUAACAAGUAUUUAAUACUCUCAUGAUCAGUUUUAAUAAAUAAUUGACCUUGUUCCAAAUGAUGUGUCCACUUCCCCACAACAAAAGUAAUUGCAAGUAAUUCUUUUUUAUAAACAGAUAAAGCUUGACUUCUGGACCAAAGGCCUUAGAAAUGUAAGCAAUAAGAUGUCUCUGCUACUGCAAUACAGGCCCCAUACCCCAACUACUAGCAUUUGUCUCCACAGUAAAUGUUUUAGAGAAAUUAGGUAGGGCUAACACUGGUGCUUCAGCCAUUUAUAUUCUUAAUUUCCAAAUGCCAGCUAUGCUAACCCAGUCCAAUGAAAUGAAUCUUUCUUCAAAAGAUCAGUUAACCCUAUAGUUUCUAAUGAACUUCCUAUAAUAGCCUGUAAGACCCAAGAAACUUCUAAGGUCUUUAACUGAAGUAGGGACAGGCCAAGUAACCAUUGUAGCCACUUUUUUUGGAUAUGUAGCAACUCCCUGCCUAGAAAUGAUGUGCCCUAAAUACUUGAUCUCAGUCUGACCACAAAAACAUUUAGAUUGCUUUGUAAAAAGCUGUUGGGCCUGCAACACUUCAAAAACUUGUUCCAAAUGUUUCAAAUGACUCUCCAUGUCUUUACUAUAAAUCAAAAUGUCAUUAAAAAACACCAAGACAAACUUCCUUUGGAAAGACUGAAAAAUGUGAUUCAUCAAGGCCUAAAAAGUGGCAAGGGCAUUAAUGAGCCUAAAAGGCAUCACUUUAAAUUCAAAGUGGCCAUGGUGUGUUCUAAAGGCAGUCUUGGGAAUAUCUUCAACUUUCAUUAUGAUUUGAUGAUACUCAACCUUUAGAUCUAUCUUAGAAAAGCCAACAACCCCAUUUAAUUCAUCUACAAGUCAUCAAUGAUAGGAAUUGAAAACUUAUCUUUUACUGUCAGGUCAUUUAACCUUCUAUAGUCAAUACAAAACCUCCAUUUCCCAUCUUUCUUCUUUACCAAGAGAACAGGUGAAGAAUAAGAGCUGGUACUUAGUUGAAUUAUAGAAGAGGAAAGCAUAUCAGCUACAAGCUUCUCAAUCUCUGUUUUCUGAUAAUGAGGGUAUCUAUAGGGUUUGAUAUUAACAGGUUGAGCAUUACUUUGCAAUGGAAUGGCAUGAUUGUGACUUCCAAAGGGUGGCAACCCCUUGGGUUCUUCAAAAAUACCAUGAUACUUCUAUAAUAACUCUUGUAUUCAAUCAUCCACAAUAGUAUCUGAAGUAGCAGACAUUAAAGAAUGCUCAGUAUCCAUGAUACAAAAAUAAGGGAGAUUGAAAAUCCUUCCCUUUUCUAUUGAGUAGAUCAUUAGAACACCAUAUUCCAGAUUGCAACUUUCCCUCACCUAUUCCUUGCAAAACCACUGAUUGCCCUUCUGAAGUGAUAAUAAUUGAUGAAGCUUGAAAAUCAAAUAAAACUGGAUUAUGAAUUCUUAACCAAUCAACUCCUAAAAUCAUAUCAAAGCCCCUUAACUCCAGGAUUUUCGGAUCGGAAGUAAAUUCAUAACCCUGCAUUUUCCAUCUAAAUUGUUGACAUUUCAAAUUACAGCCCAAUUUCCUUCCAUCAGCCGCUUUAAUAGCAAUGAAUGGUGUUGGAACAAACUCCAAUUUCAAUUCUUUAGCU